AGUGAACGCUGGCGGUAGGCCUAACACAUGCAAGUCGAACGGCAGCACAGUAAGAGCUUGCUCUUACGGGUGGCGAGUGGCGGACGGGUGAGGAAUACAUCGGAAUCUACUUUUUCGUGGGGGAUAACGUAGGGAAACUUACGCUAAUACCGCAUACGACCUACGGGUGAAAGCAGGGGAUCUUCGGACCUUGCGCGAUUGAAUGAGCCGAUGUCGGAUUAGCUAGUUGGCGGGGUAAAGGCCCACCAAGGCGACGAUCCGUAGCUGGUCUGAGAGGAUGAUCAGCCACACUGGAACUGAGACACGGCCCAGACUCCUACGGGAGGCGGCAGUGGGGAAUAUUGGACAAUGGGCGCAAGCCUGAUCCAGCCAUACCGCGUGGGUGAAGAAGGCCUUCGGGUUGUAAAGCCCUUUUGUUGGGAAAGAAAAGCAGCAGGCUAAUACCCCGCUGUUCUGACGGUACCCAAAGAAUAAGCACCGGCUAACUUCGUG
rnacentral:rRNA from 1 species